rnacentral:rRNA from 1 species
ACGAGGGGGUGCUAUACAUGCAAGUCGAGCGGACAGAUGGGAGCUUGCUCCCUGAUGUUAGCGGCGGACGGGUGAGUAACACGUGGGUAACCUGCCUGUAAGACUGGGAUAACUCCGGGAAACCGGGGCUAAUACCGGAUGGUUGUCUGAACCGCAUGGUUCAGACAUAAAAGGUGGCUUCGGCUACCACUUACAGAUGGACCCGCGGCGCAUUAGCUAGUUGGUGAGGUAACGGCUCACCAAGGCGACGAUGCGUAGCCGACCUGAGAGGGUGAUCGGCCACACUGGGACUGAGACACGGCCCAGACUCCUACGGGAGGCAGCAGUAGGGAAUCUUCCGCAAUGGACGAAAGUCUGACGGAGCAACGCCGCGUGAGUGAUGAAGGUUUUCGGAUCGUAAAGCUCUGUUGUUAGGGAAGAACAAGUGCCGUUCAAAUAGGGCGGCACCUUGACGGUACCUAACCAGAAAGCCACGGCUAACUACGUGCCAGCAGCCGCGGUAAUACGUAGGUGGCAAGCGUUGUCCGGAAUUAUUGGGCGUAAAGGGCUCGCAGGCGGUUUCUUAAGUCUGAUGUGAAAGCCCCCGGCUCAACCGGGGAGGGUCAUUGGAAACUGGGGAACUUGAGUGCAGAAGAGGAGAGUGGAAUUCCACGUGUAGCGGUGAAAUGCGUAGAGAUGUGGAGGAACACCAGUGGCGAAGGCGACUCUCUGGUCUGUAACUGACGCUGAGGAGCGAAAGCGUGGGGAGCGAACAGGAUUAGAUACCCUGGUACUCCACGCCGUAAACGAUGAGUGCUAAGUGUUAGGGGGUUUCCGCCCCUUAGUGCUGCAGCUAACGCAUUAAGCACUCCGCCUGGUGNUACGGUNCAAAACUGAAACUCAAUGAAAUUGACGGGUGCCCGCACAGUCGUGC